UUCAUCAAGAAGAAACAGCUCAUCGAUGCCAAGUAUCAAGCUUGCAAGAGUGAGAUUAACUGCCAAGACCAGCUUAAUAAGUUUCACGUAUAGUUAUGGGGUUACAAGAAGGAUCUAAAGGAAGAAAAAAGUUAUACUAAGAAGUUAGAGGUUUCUUUAUCCCAGCGCUAAACAUAACUUAUCCAACAGGUUGAGGAGAUUUGAGAGUUGAAGGGUCAAGCGCACCAAAGCCGUGAAGAGAAUGAUCAGCUCCAUCAAGAAGCCAUGCAUUGAGAGAGAAA
rnacentral:lncRNA from 1 species